GCUCGAUGUAGGCGGAUAUUAGAGGC
rnacentral:sRNA from 1 species